AAAUCACUUUCGAUUUUACAUUGUAUCUCAGAUAAAUUUAUUGCCUGUUUGACAGGAACAGAAUGCCCACAUUCGCAGCGCUUAAUUACAUUUUCGAUUACUUCAAUCAUCUACAAGACGAACGUCUUGCUACAAUGGCUAUAGAAAUAUACAUAACAGUGACAUGUACUAUAAUCGUUAUAGACGUUUUCUAUCUUCUUUGUCCUGACUAAACGCUCAAUACAGCAUCAAUAAAGUACUUCAUUAUGCAAUAAGAAACAUAG